GCUUUUCCGCCCCGGCUCUUCUUUUGUUGUCAAGUCUUUUUGAUAAAUGGUGGGGCUGGGAGCUCUGGGAGUCGGGAGCCAGUCUGUGCCCGCGUGGGGGGCGGGGGCCGAGCCUGGAGACCCGGUUUCGACCGGCACGCACCUGGGGCUGAGCCGGGUGCGCGCGGGGGUCGGGUCUGGAACCUGCCCUCGGAGUGCUCGCCCUCUCCUCUUGGCCCAUCUCACUCCCCUCCCCCACCUCACUCCCCUCCCCAGCUUCUUUCUCUGUCUCCCACUCCGCACGGGUACCGAGAACUUUCCGGGAAUCGACGGGAUUUCUCUGGCUGUCGUUUGCGCUGCAUUUAUCCGAAUAAAUCCAGCUCGCAAGCAUCCUGCAAGAAACGGCUCCCGGCUCGCGUGUACACCGACACCUCGGCCCAACGCAGGACUCGAGGUGGCUUCUAGUGCCCGGGUGGCUGCAAGUCUGGCCUCCGAAGGAGGCUGGACAAGCGGCGCCCCCAGGUCGAGCGGCCUCUCGUUGCCUGGCAGUGCCUGGCAGCCCCCCCUCUGCCGGUGCUUCAGCAACCCUCCUGGCCAGGUUCGCCCGCGGUGAAAAAUGAAAGCAAAUUCCCCAACAAAGGUAGCCGGAACUUUCCUCGACGAAGGCUCCCUCCUGCGCCUGUGUCUCGGAGAACCCCCAGAGGGCUGCAAGUUAGCAAGAGAGAUUCGAUGACGGCUCUGGAAGGCGCGCGAAGGGUGGGGCGGGGGGGCAAAGAGGCCACUGGGUGACCCAGCCUGGCCCGGGGUGAAACGCUAGAGAAGGCGCCUCGCCUUCCUUAUUUCAAUGCAACUCCUCGGCCCCAGACGGUAAAAAUAGUUUCCAAGCUGCCGCGGACGCCCAGGAUGUGUUUGCAGAGAUCAAACUGGGGAGGAGGCAGCUUUGUAAAAGUUGCAGAAAGAUUAGCCGAGAAGCGUCCGCCCGGCGGGGCUCAAGAAAGCUUGGGGACAGCUCCACGUUCCUUGGGGCG
rnacentral:antisense_RNA from 1 species